AGGAUAAACCUCUCUUUCAGAAUUUGCUAAUGACAAGGAAAUAAUCCUUAUGAGGUUCUGAAAGAGUUGGUCAGCCCUAACGACAAGAAUAAGAUAUUGAUACUUCAAUAGGUAUUCAUGUUAGUAAAUUAAUUAGUUAUCGUUAUUUAUUGAUAAGUCAUCAAUUUAAGAUUACUGGGAAUCUUAGUCAAUAUUUAUUUUAAUUUAAAUAUAGAAGUGCCGUUGUCAUUCUGAAAUAAUACAAUAGAUAAUUAAGCUAAUUUAACCUAGUAAAAAGGCAUUAACACAUAUGCAAUUAGUUACGUGCAUUUCAAGACGGCGAGUAUUUAGGAACUCAUUAUCAGAAGAUAAUGAUAAUUGUACAUUGAAGCAACUAAAAUUAUAAUUAGAACCUCGUGCAAAGUAUCUCGUAAUUUCUAGGCGAUAAAUUAAACGCGUGACAUAUGGGAGUGGUCAUCUAAGUAUUCAAUAGUUAAGCGAAUACUACAUAGACAUUUUAUUAUGUAUAUGAAUUAUGACUAUUCAACGCGGAAACAUUGAAGCAGCGAUUAAACUCGCCCUUUUGGAUGUUAUACCAUGAAAGAAAACCUAAACAAUACUUAUUAGUAUCGUUCAAUAAAUGAUAAAAGGGAAAUUGCUUGGAAAAACCCCAAUCUAGGAGUAAGGACUUAUAAAUACCUCAAUUUUUACACAAUGAGGUGAGAAUUUUUUUUGUUAAGCUCCCAGUAUAAAAUUCUAAAUAAACCACUAGAGGGCAGUGCAAACUUUAAAAUUAAUUGUUCAGAAUAAACUACUGCUAAAAAUCCAGUUCAAAUAUAUCAAGUACAGAAUAUCAUACUAAGCCUAACUGAAAACUUCUUAAAUAUACAGGUUGACCCUUUUUGGCCCCAGUCUAAGUUGAAGAUACAACUCUUUAAGAUUGGAGUGAUGAACAUUAUUUCUAUGUAUAAAACAAAAAUAUAGUAACUUCAUUGGUUAAGUUCAAGUAAUGAUACAGUGCACACAUUAUAAAUACUAUUAAAACUUAAUAUCUUUAAUGUUUUACAUAAAAGAUAAAAUUAAAAAAAUAUAUUUAUAUGUUUUGUAAAAUAGAACUGAGGUUAGAACAUUUUUAUAUACAUGCAGUUUUAAGUGUGAACAAAUUACUUCAUUUUUUUUGUACAAAUAAUUAUAAAUAAACUAAUUAUUACAAUAAUGAAAGGCAAAUUAAUUUAAAAAUAAUUGUAUCCUCUUUAACUGUUAGAAACCUAACUAAUAAUGUUUGUUAAAACUAAUUAUAUGUGUUAACCCAAAAUUAAUGAAUGCAAAAUUAUAUUGUUAGUAUUAAAGCAUGU